GGCCGUACCAUGCUGAAUAUACCGGUUCUCAUUAGAUCACCGAAGUUAAGCAUCAUUGGGCGCGGUCAGUACUUGGGUGGGUGACCGCCUGGGAACACUGCGUGCCGUU
rnacentral:rRNA from 1 species